rnacentral:lncRNA from 1 species
AUCACAUAACAUAUCAUCAUCCUAACCAGGAUACCGACCUAACAGGUCACUAGCAUAGCAUCUCCCUAUCUCUCAGGAUACCGAUCUCAAUCAGGUCUCUAACAUAUACCAUCCUAGCUCUCAGGAUGCAAACAUAUCAAAGCAACAACAUAACAACAACUACCCGGAUCUCAAUCCGAUAAGGGCCGGCCUUGGUGCCUUAGACCCUGUUGAUAUAGUGAGGAUAACUCACCUCGAAACUGCCGGCUGAAAGGAUAAGAUCCCGCUGCUCCAAGCUCCGACACGAACUCCUCCACUGAACACCAACACACUCAACUCAAUAAAUACCCUUAAUUACCAAAAUACCCCUGAAAGACAACUGGUCAACCUUUGGACAAGGUCAAAGUCAACCCCUGACUGACUCUACUCGCCGAGUCAACCCGAUGACUCGCCGAGUCCCCAUACUCAGAACUUCCCUCAAUCCGCGACCUAACUCGCCGAGUCACCCCGAGACUCGUCGAGUCCAACAACUCUGAGUCCACUCGCCCACAACUCACCGAGUCAUCCCUUGACUCGCCGAUUCUCGACUCAACCAGAAAAUAUUGGGACUCUUCGACAAGACUCGCCGAGUCCAAGAACAGACUCGCCGAGUCUAAGGCUAUCUUCAACCUACUCGCCGAGUUGUUCAUACAACUCGCCGAGUUCCAGGCCAUCUUCAUCCAACUCGCCGAGUUGUUCUUCCAACUCGUCGAGUUCCAGCUCAUCUUCAAGCAACUCGUCGAGUCCACCCAUGUGACUCGCCGAGUACCACCGGUCUGAAUCCAUACAGAAGCACUCCAGGCCAUGCAAUUGAUCCAAAACAUAGAUCUAGCCUCCUACAACCCAUCCAUCACGUAAAGUGGCAAACUUUACGUGAAUCCAAAGAGAUCUAUGCAUUUUGCACAUUAGGGCUAAGGUUUGGGACAUGAUAGCUUCACCCAACACUCAACACAGGGACUUUAUGCACAUUAGGACCAUCACCACUCCAGAUCUGAGGUAGCAACCUCAGAUCUAACUUCCAAACUCCAAAACAUACCAAGAUAAGCUCCCCACAAACCCCAAAAUGAUGAAUCCAUAAGAAUAACAGCCCAAGGACGAGAUAUUACCUCAAAAGAACGCCCCAACUGCAAUGGAACUCGAAUCCAAGCAAAGCCCCUUGCUCCAAGCCUCCUACCCUUCAAGAUUUCCUCAACAAUUGCUUCUCCAAGCUUCCCAAUGCAAUAUGAUCACUCACACACGAAGGCUAAGGGUUUCUGGACUUGAGGAUGAGUAAAGAGGCUGGGGGAAUGAAUGUUAUGUUCUUUAUAUAGGGCUCAACCCCGAGAAUUAGGGUUUUCUCCACUCAGCGCCUCCUCGCCGAGUCCACCUUACUGACUCGCCGAGUCGGCCACUUAACAUGCGACCAAGUCGCGACUCUACUCGCCGAGUCUACCCAUGGACUCGCCGAGUCGCUCUUUCCCAAUUUACUCCUUUAGCCCUUCAACUCUUACUCUUGAUAUUUCGGGAUGUUACAAUUCUCCCCCACUUAAAUUAGGCUUCGUCCUCGAUGCCUGCAACAAAGUCAACUCUUAGAAAUACUCCUGCCAUGCACCACCUGGCAUUAACCCGACCAGGUUUCUCAAAACACAACUAUAGAACCAGAAACUCGUUUUCUCCUUCCUUACGGUGUCCUGACCACCGUCUCGAGCCGUCCACCGGCUUAGCCUCUGAUAACUCCACUUAUCAACUGAGUACUACUCAUGAUGCAGCACUGCUCCAAUUCACAACCAUCAUUCGGCCCAUAUGAGUUAGAAAUAACCAUGCACCACCGGAUUCCCGAUUCGAGUCCAACUCUAGUCAUUCUGCUGACAGAAAGACACAUUCUUCAGAGCAACUCCCAUGAGUUCUCCUCUUGCAAUCACAUACACAUGCUGAACUAGCUCUAGCACCCUCAGGUUGGGNGAGUAAAGAGGCUGGGGGAAUGAAUGUUAUGUUCUUUAUAUAGGGCUCAACCCCAAGAAUUAGGGUUUUCUCCACUCAGCGCCUACUCGCCGAGUCUACCUUACUGACUCGCCGAGUCGGCCACUUAACACGCGACCAAGUCGCGACUCUACUUGCCGAGUCUACCCAUGGACUCGCCGAGUCGCUCUUUCCCAAUUUACUCCUUUAGCCCUUCAACUCUUACUCUUGAUAUUUCGGGAUGUUACAAUUCUCCCCCACUUAAAUUAGGCUUCGUCCUCGAUGCCUGCAACAAAGUCAACUCUUAGAAAUACUCUUGCCAUGCACCACCUGGCAUUAACCCGACCAGGUUUCUCAAAACACAACUAUAGAACCAGAAACUCGUUUUCUCCUUCCUUACGGUGUCCUGACCACCGUCUCGAGCCGUCCACCGGCUUAGCCUCUGAUAACUCCACUUAUCAACUGAGUACUACUCAUGAUGCAGCACUGCUCCAAUUCACAACCAUCAUUCGGCCCAUAUGAGUUAGAAAUAACCAUGCACCACCGGAUUCCCGAUUCGAGUCCAACUCUAGUCAUUCUGCUGACAGAAAGACACAUUCUUCAGAGCAACUCCCAUGAGUUCUCCUCUUGCAAUCACAUACACAUGCUGAACUAGCUCUAGCACCCUCAGGUUGGGAAAACCCAACACACAGAUGAUAUCUUCAAAUAUCCCCCAGGAUGAACCACUAAUACAUACACAAUUCCCUGAUCAGAAUCACACUGAGAGCCCAAGACUCCCUCCCUACAUCCCUUCCGAGCCUCUUGGCUCUACACCUGCNCUCCACUAAUCAAGAUCAAUACCCGGGGCCAGACCUUCUGAUGCUAACACAUCGCAACAUACUCAAUCCAUCUCCUCAACCGGACGAACAAUACCUGCAGAGUCUUCAGCAUGACUGGACCGCCUCACCAGGCCUUCAGCCAAUAUGGACCACUCUCAGAACCUUCAGCCAAUCUGGACCGCCCUCCCGGGCCUUCAGCCUGGCUGGACCGUUUUCCGACUCGAGACUUCGGCUUGACUGGUACGCCCACCGGCCUUCAGUCUAUCCGGACCGCUCAACUAACAUUCAUCAUUCCGAGCUAUCUUUCCCGGAAAUCCUCCCAUGCAUACUGUUCUAGCCCUUUAAGGGUUCCGAACUCUGUCUCAAUCGCACAUGCUCGAUCCCGGCCUGUUCCCAGGCCCUCCACAAUCGAAUGCCCUAGGUCUGUACCCCGCCUCGCAUGCCUGCCACUUACUCGUACCAGCCUAUACUCUUGACUGACAGAACCACCGCUGAAACCCAAGCAGCUAAUCAACCUCUCAUGUCCAUCGACCUUCCGGAGAAUCCUCAAUUCUCCCCCACUUAGAGCACUGACUAUCAAUCACCGGUCGCCAACACCGACCACCUAGAACAACUCUGCACAAAACCAAUACUUACACGCGGACUGAUUCCCACAAGCAUAAUCAACCUUAACCAGAUCCCAUAUCAACACUGAUUAACCCGCUCAAAAGAAACUCGAUCUGCAUCUAACCACUCCUCAGAAAGCAGAUGCUACCGGGCCUUCAAACCAAUGUCAGGUUCCCACUAAUAACCCUCAUGAAUGAUAACCAACGGAAUUCCCAAUACAAUAACCCAUAACCAAACCACAACCCUCAAAACGACGAAUACCGCAUCGAAAACCACACAAGGAUACCAGCACAUAAACAAUACACCACAAUAAUCACAAGAUAACAAGAUAUAAAGAAAGAAUCAUACCUGCAGCUGCAUCCGANUCCGGCACUGCUCUGACCUCCUCUGCCGCAAGCUGAUAAGCACGACCCUGAGCCCUUGGGGGCUCCGCUCCAUCCUGCCCCCCACCUGUGAUCCUCAAAGUGGCUGGUGUUGGAGCCUGCACCGGUCCUGCAGCAAGCUGUGGACAUUUGACCCUCAAAUGUCCAACCUGAUGACAAUGAUAACAAAUCCUCAAAUCCCGAACCGGCGCUAACUGCCGACAAUCCCUAGCAUAGUGCCCCUCCUUUCCGCACUUGCGGCAUGCACCACCGGACCUACAAACUCCGGUGUGACCCCUCCCACACUUCCCACAAGUGUGGCUGCUCAGAUCCCCCACUCUAACAUCAACGGUCUUGGACCGUUUCGGCGCCGGCUGCGACUGCACCGGAGCCUGCCUCAGCUCACGCAACUGCAACUCAAUCUCUAACUCACGCCGCCUGGCGGCCUCCUGCAACUCCAACAAGGUCUCGCACCUCUGCGUAGACACAAACUGUCUGAUAUCCCUCUUGAGCAUGCUCAGAUAUCGGGACAUCUGAGCCUGCUCCGAAGCGAACUCAGGGCAAAACAUCGCCCUCUCAGUGAACAUCCUGGUGAUCUCAGUCACCGACUCCGAAUCCUGCUUCAGCUCAAGGAACUCCUGAGCCAAUCUCUCCCUCUCAACUUGCGGAACAUAACGAGUGCUGAACAUCUCUCUGAACUGAUCCCAUGAAACCGCAGCCCUCUGCGCAUCCGAAUAUGACCCCGUGGUCAAUCUCCACCAAUCCUUCGCCCCGAGCCUCAACAGGUUCAGAGCACACCUCACCCUCUGAUCAGCAGGGCAUGAACACGUGAAGAAACACCCCUCCACGUCCGAUAACCAUCUCAUAGCAACAAUCGGGUCCUGAACUCCAUCAAAGGUGGGAGGCUUCGUAUUAUCGAAGUCCCGAUACUGAAAACCCCGACCAGCUCCUCCCCCUGCCGCUGCUACAGCCGUUGUAGCCGCCGCGGCAGCCGUCUCUGUGAGAGCUGCAUAGCGCUCAUCAAAAUACUCAACCAUGGCGGUCUUGAUCGACCCAAACAGCUCCGGCAACUCAGCCCGGAACAACUCAGCAAUCUCAUCACGCAGGAUCUCACGAAUCCUCGCAUCCAACUCGCACGUGCUCAUCUGACCAAUAACCUCGGGCGGUACUGACCCGCCCGGAACUCCCUCUCCUGCUCCCGAUCCUGACCCGGAUCCACUCCCAGCAUGCCUCGGAAUCUCCAUACUGAAAAACACCACAAAAUCUCAGACACUUCCCACUAACCCGGGAACCAACUCUCAACCCAACCCUAGAGGUCAUGGUUUCCCUGAUACGCGUAUGGGUCCUGUGCUUUCAGUAGUACGGGCCCAUACUACCUUCCACACCUACCCAUAUUUGUAUGAAGUACUACCACAACACCCUAGUGAAAACAUACAAAACAAGCGCUCAACCCUCACCACUAGAGGAACACUGGAAAUCUCCCACAAGGAAACCCUAGGCUACAGGCAUCACAAAUCAGGCAACAUUAUCAUGAAAUCCUGAAGAUCCCUAGCCUAGCACUAGCAUGCUGUUCUAUCAAAGCUCAAAAACAAAUAUCAUGUAUGGUAUUUUGGGGUUACUUACUGGCUCCGGCUGAUCGUACCUCCGCGUCCUCCUUUACUCAUUUUGAAAACCAUUUUAAAUUCUCUUUUGAAAACUCUCCUCGAUUUGAGACUGGAGUCACACGAGUGUUCCUCCAAUUCACUCAAACCAAGGCUCUGAUACCAACUUGUAACGACCGAAAAAUUCCAACCAAUUUAAACUUUUCAAAAACAACCCGAUUUCAUUAAGUUAUUACAAAAAGGUUUUCAAUACAAUUUAUUUAGAGUAUUCCCAGAAUCACAUCACAACAUAAACAUGAGGAGCGGUACGAUCACGCCUUCGCCUUGCCACGGUCUCCUGAAGAACCUGAAAAACAUAAAACCACAACUGUAAGCCCGAAAGCUUAGUGAGAUAUCCCCAAAAUACCAACCACAUAUACCAUACACGCAUAACAUGCCAUAACAUAUCCGAUCACAGAACAGCCAUGCACUUCGGGUCUACUGUGUGACUGGUCCGCCGCACCGGCCUACAGUCCACCUGGUCCACCCUCUGAGUCUAGCCAUAUACCUCGAGUCUACAGUGUGAUUGGUCCGCUCGCACCGGGCCUUCAAUCCACCUGGUCCACUCUCCGAGUCUAACCACAUACAUCGAGUCUGCAGUGUGAUUGGUCUGCCCGCACCGGGCCUUCAAUCCACCUGGUCCACUCUCUGAGUCUACAGUAUGACUGGUCCGCCCGCACCGGGCCUUCAGUCGGCCUGGUCCACUCUCCGAGCCUCGGCACGUCUUGUCCGCCCUCUUGGGGCCUACAGCCUAUUCGAACCGCUCGCUGGGCCUUCGGGACAACCGGUCCGCCCUGGGUAUCUUGGCCUAUAGCACAAAGCAGGACACGCCUCAACCCAACUCCAGUCCAAACAACCAUGUGCACAUAUACAUACAAUCAUAUAGCAAUUCACAGUCAACAAGCAGAUCAAACAGAUCACAUAACAUAUCAUCAUCCUAACUAGGAUACCGACCUAACCGGUCACUAGCAUAGCAUCACCCUAUCUCUCAGGAUACCGAUCUCAAUCAGGUCUCUAACAUAUACCAUCCUAGCUAUCAGGAUGCAAACAUAUCAAAGCAAUAUCAUAAUAACAACUACUCGGAUCUCAAUCCGAUAAGGGCCGACCUUGGUGCCUUAGACCCUGUUGAUAUAGUGAGGAUAACUCACCUCGAAACUGACGACGGAAUAGAUAACCCAAGCUGCUCCGAUCUCUGAUACGAUCUCCACCGUUGGAUAAACACCAAGGCACUGAACUCAAAACAAUAUACAACAAUUACCAAAAUGCCCCUGGAAACCAUUGGUCAACCCUUGGUCAAAGACAAGGUCAAAGUCAACCCCUAACUGACUCUACUCACCGAGUCCCCAUGCUCAACAUUCCUUUAACCCGCGACCCCACUCGCCGAGUCACCCCGAGACUCGCCGAGUCCAACAACUCUGAGUCUUCACUCACACAACUCACCGAGUCAUCCCUUGACCCA